rnacentral:lncRNA from 1 species
AGAAAAUGCUGAGAUUUCAUGCUCACGUGACUAAGGGAAAGGAGAGAUGAAAAUGUGAUAAGGAAUUAGAAUGCUUAGUUUCUUUAAAUUGGCAAAAUAGGUAAUGAGAGAGGUUAUGGUGAUUCUCUGUAAGUGCAAAAGCUUUUAAAAACUGGGGACCAUAAGAUUUUGUCUCAGCAGAUUGGCAGACUAGAUUUUUAACAGAGCAGAAGGGAUCAUCUGAUCUAUGUCAAAUCAGAUGAAACAUUUUCAUCUGACUCAGCUUGAGCAGGUAUGUUUGUGUUCCCUUUUCAGCAAGGCACCCUGGCAGCCUAUGUAGUAAGACAGUAGCUCAUCAAGCUCCUGACUGCAGCGUGUCCCAGCAGGCUGCAGAAGGGUCAUGUCUUACACAGAGUCCCCACUGUGGCUUUGCUCUGCUGGGUCAAGGGAAACAUGAGGUGACAAUUUUUGCCCUUUCCUAUUAAUAGUUAAAAUGGUAGAAGGAGAAAGAAGAGGUCUGUACGGAUUUUGUCUUCAAGAUUGAUUUUAUAAUUUCAGGGGAACAUGGAAAGAUGGACCCGCUCCAAGGCUUUUGACUUCCCACACCUUUAAGAGAGAGACAGCAGGAUGACAUCUCAGAUGCUCUGUAGCUGUCCCAGAUCGUGACUGUUUUCUUCUGAAGAGCAAAUGUGCGAUUCAAAGGGCGCCUGGCAAAAGCUUCUUCUAGUUCUGCAGCAGCAGCACGGGAAGUAUUUCAUGUACAUAGAAGAUCAAGCAUCCAUGUAGACAGUUGUUUUCUGCAACAUUUUGUGA